rnacentral:lncRNA from 1 species
UUUCUUAUAAAAUAAUAUUUAUAGAACUCUGCGUAAAUAAUUUUUGUAGCGUAAAAGCAAAAUAAAUUCAUACAUACAGUGACACAGAUAAUCAAAGUAUGUAAUUUAAUUUACAAUGACGUGUGGGCCCCCGAAUAACCAAACGUAAGAAAGGCUGUGGACCUACAAUUUCUGAGGAGGCGAGUCCAAUAAUAACCCUCGACAUAAUCAACUAUUUAUGGACUGUCCUGAUCCUGGAAUGAGUGGAAAUGAGGGUGGUGAGUUUAUACAAACUCAGUGAGUAAACAAACAUCAUCUAAAAUAUCUAAAGUCGAGUAAAUUGAGACAACUUAAAAUAGUUCAUCGUACUAUGAUUCAUAACGUUUCAAACACAUUUCAACAAAAUAAAAUAAUUUCAUUUCACUCAAAUAAUCAACAUGGCUUAUGAAUUUCUUAAGAAUUUGGCUCGUGCCAAAACUCAUUCUUGGGGAUACCUUGGCUGGGGCAUCCAACCGAGUUCGCCAAGGCUGUUAAAGAAGAGUUCAUAUACGCAUAAAACACAUUUUUACGUUUAAAAGCAUAGUUGUUCCUUGGCAUUAGCUGAGUUCACUCUCACGUGGUGGUUUAGUGUGUAGUGAACUCUAAAGCUUUUCCUCAGGAGAUACCCUCUGCGCCUUUCGUACCGAGGUAAAAUAUAACCAGGUUUACUGUGCCCCUCUUUAAUAGGCUGGUCCACGGAAACCCACCACUGUAGUGACUAAUCAAUAUCCCACCAAAUCAAUAAAAGUUUCGACAGCAUGACAUGGCAAUUAUAUUACUACCCAGCCUGUUAAGCCAAAACAAAUAGUUCAUACAAUUUCAACAUAAUUUCCAAUUUAGCCAUUCAUGCCAAUAUCACCAUAAGCCAUUCAAUUCAAACCAUAAAUUUACAACACAAUCAAACAGUCUCCAAUUACUCAAUUUCUAAAAUCAUCAUUCAAUUUCAAAAUGAUUUAUAAAACUCAUUUCAUUUAAUCACAUUUUACUUAUUUAACAUAAGGAUUUACCAUUUAAACUCAUUUUUCUAUAAAAUCACAAAAACGAAUAAAAACUACUUUAGAUAUUUAAGACGAUAAUAAGGUUACUCACAAUAUCAGGAGUCGAA